AGAAUCAACGCUGGCGGCGUGCCUAACACAUGCAAGUCGCACGAGAAAGGGUAGCAAUACCUGAGUAAAGUGGCGCACGGGUGAGUAACACGUGAAUAAUCUACCUCCGAGUGGGGAAUAACUGAGAGAAAUCUUAGCUAAUACCGCAUAACACUUACGAGUCAAAGCAGUAAUGCGCUUGGAGAGGAGUUCGCGGCAGAUUAGCUAGUUGGCGGGGUAAUGGCCCACCAAGGCGAUGAUCUGUAUCCGGCCUGAGAGGGCGCACGGACACACUGGAACUGAAAUACGGUCCAGACUCCUACGGGAGGCAGCAGUGGGGAAUUUUGCGCAAUGGGGGAAACCCUGACGCAGCAACGCCGCGUGGAGGAUGAAUCCCUUGGGAUGUAAACUCCUUUCGAUAGGGAAGAUAAUGACGGUACCUAUAGAAGAAGCCCGGCUAACUCGCGCCAGCAGCCGC
rnacentral:rRNA from 1 species